UGAGGAAUAUUGGUCAAUGGACGAGAGUCUGAACCAGCCAAGUAGCGUGAAGGAUGACUGCCCUAUGGGUUGUAAACUUCUUUUAUACGGGAAUAAAGUGAGGCACGUGUGCCUUUUUGUAUGUACCGUAUGAAUAAGGAUCGGCUAACUCCGUGCCAGCAGCCGCGGUAAUACGGAGGAUCCGAGCGUUAUCCGGAUUUAUUGGGUUUAAAGGGAGCGUAGGCGGACGCUUAAGUCAGUUGUGAAAGUUUGCGGCUCAACCGUAAAAUUGCAGUUGAUACUGGGUGUCUUGAGUACAGUAGAGGCAGGCGGAAUUCGUGGUGUAGCGGUGAAAUGCUUAGAUAUCACGAAGAACUCCGAUUGCGAAGGCAGCUUGCUGGACUGUAACUGACGCUGAUGCUCGAAAGUGUGGGUAUCAAACAGGAUUAGAUACCCUGGUAGUCCACACAGUAAACGAUGAAUACUCGCUGUUUGCGAUAUACAGUAAGCGGCCAAGCGAAAGCGUUAAGUAUUCCACCUGGGGAGUACGCCGGCAACGGUGAAACUCAAAGGAAUUGACGGGGGCCCGCACAAGCGGAGGAACAUGUGGUUUAAUUCGAUGAUACGCGAGGAACCUUACCCGGGCUUAAAUUGCAGAUGAAUUACGGUGAAAGCCGUAAGCCGCAAGGCAUCUGUGAAGGUGCUGCAUGGUUGUCGUCAGCUCGUGCCGUGAGGUGUCGGCUUAAGUGCCAUAACGAGCGCAACCCUUGUUGUCAGUUACUAACAGGUUUUGCUGAGGACUCUGACAAGACUGCCAUCGUAAGAUGUGAGGAAGGUGGGGAUGACGUCAAAUCAGCACGGCCCUUACGUCCGGGGCUACACACGUGUUACAAUGGGGGGUACAGAGGGCCGCUACCACGCGAGUGGAUGCCAAUCCCCAAAACCUCUCUCAGUUCGGACUGGAGUCUGCAACCCGACUCCACGAAGCUGGAUUCGCUAGUAAUCGCGCAUCAGCCACGGCGCGGUGAAUACGUUCCC
rnacentral:rRNA from 1 species